GACAGAAGUUAUGGGGCCAAAUGGAUUGGAAGUUGGCUGAAAUACUGCCCAGUUUAAAAGGAAAAUGAAUCUUAAUGUAGCAGGUGCUCAGUAAAAUACCAGUGAAUCACAAUAUUGAGCCAUUCAGGCCAUUUGAAGUUGCCCAGAUUCUUCCUAGAGACUUUGACAGGAUUUGGGAUUGUUUGGGAAUGUUGGUGUCCUGUGAUGACUGGAAUCCAUCUGACAACAGAACCCUAUUUUUACCCACGGUUUCCUGAAAGGUGAACUCAAGUUGACACAGGAAAACAGAGUAGAAAGGAAGAUGAAAAUAUCUUGCAGUAUUCAAACUGCAACAUGUUUGCUUUCCAGAACAGGAGUUCCAGUUUUAUUUAUGUUUUUAAAGGAGCUUUGGAAUUUGCCUUAGAUUUUAUCCCAUAUUUUUGAAGCUUCUUAAAAUCCUCAGGAGUCCAAGAGUUCCUGUGAAAAUCCAGCUAGUGUGAGGAACAUUUGAAGGAGGGGGGGACCUCAAUCCCUUCCCCAGCCGGUGCUUCCCGAGCAUCUCUGCACACACAGAGGAUUCCAUCAGGAACUCUCUCCUCUCUGCUGCUGGAGGAGAAUCCUUCCCCUGGGAUUACCUCCAGUGAAGCUGAGGAGAUCAAGGUCAUCUAAAGAGCUUAUUCUCUCUUUUCCCUCACUUGGAAGGUACUUUGUAAACCACUGUCAUAAAUUUUAAACUUCUGACUGGAAGGAUGCCCAGCCAAAGUCUUUGAGUGAUCAGAUUAGUUUACAUAAGACUUUUUCCUCACUUAAAAGAAAGUGCUGGGAGCUAUCAUUGAGGCAUUUGCUUAAUCAAAAGUGUUGCAAACGAAACAAUUUUGUUGUCAGAAAAUGAAGAAAUGACCAAAAAAAAAUUAAAAAAAAAAAAUCAUGUGAGAUGUAAUUUAAGGAGGGGAAGAAAAAAUAAUAAUCUAGCAGUGCAGUGUAACAGGAUUUCC
rnacentral:lncRNA from 1 species